rnacentral:rRNA from 1 species
UACGAAGGGGGCUAGGCGUUGCUCGGAAUGACUGGGCGUAAAGGGCGCGUAGGCGGCUUGUAGAGUCGGAUGUGAAAUUCCUGGGCUUAACCUGGGGGCUGCAUUCGAUACCUACGGGCUUGAGUGCGGAAGAGGGUCGUGGAAUUCCCAGUGUAGAGGUGAAAUUCGUAGAUAUUAGGAAGAACACCAGUGGCGAAGGCGGCUCACUGGCCCGGUACUGACGCUGAGGCGCGAAAAGCGUGGGGGAGCAAACAGGG